AGAGAGAGAUGUUGUAAGGCAGACAUGGUGUGGAUUUUGCAUCUAAGUAUAUCAUUGAGGUCGACUACCCGUGGUCCUGAUAUUACUUAUUUGUGAUCUGCAAGAGAAGCCGAGGGACGCUCUGAACGGAGAGGGAGAGAGAGGUUUCUGCCCGGAUGGACCCUGCUGUUUUCUCGCCCCUGACCGUCUUCACUACUGAUGAACUAACUGCUAACUGCCCGUUUCUGAUCGCCCCCACUAACAAACUCAUUGGACUCGUGAGUACUAACUGGAACUAAAGUGCACGUGUUUUGUUUAUUGUUCAGUUUGAGUGAAGCGGCCAUCAGUUUUAGGCCUCACCGCACCCGAACUUCGAAUCAGGCCUGCAACAAGCACUGUGCUCAUAGCUGGACUGGCCAUCGGGCAUACCGGGCAAAUGCCCGGUUUUUUUCCGUAACGGUAUAAACACUGAAAGGUGGUGGAUUGGCCAGAUGAAGGGAGAUGUGUAAAAAUAACUCAAUUGUUUGAUGGUGGCUAUUGCGGAGCUUCUACAGAUUCAGUAACAUUAGCAAGUGGUGGAGGCCAGCAGAUGCAACAUGCUGGCAGGUGGAUGACGGAAAGGCAGGAGGAGCAGAGACCCGAGGCGGUGAACUGAACUUCAGGAAAACCAGAUUACAGUGCGCAGGCUGCGGCUCGCCCAGCAGGAGACAGGUGACUUCUUCAGUGUCAGCUGACUGCAGGUCUCCAACCUUAUAAACAGCACAUUUGCACAAUGACUGACACCAGCACCACUGAAUGAACACUGG